CUGAAGAUGGCGACCGGCGCACGGGUGAGUAACACGUAUCCAACCUGCCGAUAACUCCGGAAUAGCCUUUCGAAAGAAAGAUUAAUACCGGAUGGCAUACGAAUAUCGCAUGAUAUUUUUAUUAAAGAAUUUCGGUUAUCGAUGGGGAUGCGUUCCAUUAGUUUGUUGGCGGGGUAACGGCCCACCAAGACUACGAUGGAUAGGGGUUCUGAGAGGAAGGUCCCCCACAUUGGAACUGAGACACGGUCCAAACUCCUACGGGAGGCAGCAUG
rnacentral:rRNA from 1 species